rnacentral:rRNA from 1 species
UAGGGAAUCUUCCACAAUGGGCGAAAGCCUGAUGGAGCAACGCCGCGUGUGUGAUGAAGGCUUUCGGUCGUAAAGCACUGUUGUAUGGGAAGAACAGCUAGAAUAGGAAAUGAUUUUAGUUUGACGGUACCAUACCAGAAAGGGACGGCUAAAUACGUGCCAC